rnacentral:misc_RNA from 1 species
ACAAACUUGGUCAUUUAGAGGAAGUAAAAGUCGUAACAAGGUCUCCGUUGGUGAACCAGCGGAGGGAUCAUUACCGGGUCUCGCGACUGCCCGAACCAAAACCGUGCACCUUACCGUACGCUUUUCCCGCUGCGGCGGGCCGCUCGUUGGGGGAGCCCUGGGGCCGAGAGGCCGGCCCGUCAAAGCGAUAACCAUUCCGAAGCGCAGCGCUCCGAAGCAUGCUCUGAGAGGCAUAGAAGCCUUUUGCAAAAGGCAUUUUGUCACAACCCACAACAAUGGAUCUCUUGGUUCCGGCAUCGAUGAAGAACGCAGC